AAUGCCAACUCUGCUUCAUAUAGCUCUCUCCAAGCAAGAAAUGUCUCAAUAGUAACUGGUUCACCAUGUGGAACAACUACACUAUCUUUAGCUGUAUCAGUUUCCUCGGAAUCCUCUACUUCAGCUCCAUGACUGAACUUUUCACUUAACCACUCUUGAGCAUAUGUAACAAGGGUGUAGACCAUUGCCAUGCCAAGAUUCUCAAAAGCCUCUUGUUCAAGCUUCUUUUUGAGAAUUGCAAGAUCCGCAGGCGUUAUUCCCCGUAUACUUUUAACAUUUAAUCGUGGGGAUUCA
rnacentral:misc_RNA from 1 species